AUACGUAGGUGGCAAGCGUUGUCCGGAUUUACUGGGCAUAAAGAGUAUGUAGGCGGAUAUUUAAGUCAGAUGUGAAAUUCCCGGGCUUAACCUGGGCGCUGCAUUUGAUACUGGAUAUCUAGAGUGUGGGAGAGGAAAGUGGAAUUCCUAGUGUAGCGGUGAAAUGCGUAGAGAUUAGGAAGAACACCAGUGGCGAAGGCGGCUUUCUGGACCAUAACUGACGCUGAGAUACGAAAGCGUGGGGAGCAAACAGGAUUAGAUCCCCUGGUAGUCCACGCCGUAAACGAUGAAUACUAGGUGUCGGGGGUAUUACCACCUUCGGUGCCGCAGCAAACGCAGUAAGUAUUCCGCCUGGGGAGUACGGUCGCAAGAUUAAA
rnacentral:rRNA from 1 species